UACCUGGUUUGUCCUGCCAGUAGUCAUAUGCUUGUCUCAAAGAUUAAGCCAUGCAUGUCUAAGUAUAAACUGCUUUAUACUGUGAAACUGCGAAUGGCUCAUUAAAUCAGUUAUAGUUUAUUUGAUGGUACCUACUUACUCGGAUACCCGUAGUAAUUCUAGAGCUAAUACGUGCGCACAUCCCGACUUCUGGAAGGGACGUAUUUAUUAGAUAAAAGGCCGACCGGAUUUUUCCGACUCGCGGUGACUCAUGAUAACUUCACGAAUCGCAUGGCCUCGUGCCGGCGAUGUUUCAUUCAAAUUUCUGCCCUAUCAACUUUUGAUGGUAGGAUAGAGGCCUACCAUGGUGGUAACGGGUGACGGAGAAUUAGGGUUCGAUUCCGGAGAGGAGGCCUGAGAA
rnacentral:rRNA from 1 species